CCAAAACACGGCCUCGCUCCGCGGCCCCGCGCCGCGCGCCGCCUCCGCACCGCGCCCCUCCCUCUCCGCCACCGCGACGCCAAGCUCCGCGUUCUCUGCCGCUUCCGCCGGCGCCGGCGACCCCACAGAUUCGCCGCGUCCUGCGGACCCCGCGCAAGGACGCCGGCCCCACGCCCCCACCCGCUCUCGCAACCUCCGCGUCCCCCGUCGCCGCCGCAUUCCCGAGCCCGAGCCCGCCGCCUCAGGCGGAGGCGGAACCGCCUAGGGCGUCUGCGGACGAGGAACCCUCCGCCACGCCGUCGCCGCGAAGCCUCCGCCCGCACGGGAGGCGCGGAGGAUGAAGAGGAAGUUCACAAUAAUCAGAAGCCGUGUCCCCGAGAGCACGUUGCUGGUGUGGGGGAGGGAUGUGACAAGUCCUCCAUAGAAAAUUCUGCUUGGGGUGAAGCGGUGGGUAAGGAGCACACUGUUAGAGAAUCUGCAGUGGAGAAGCCAGCUGCUGGCUGCGAUGAAACAUUGUUGGGGGAGGAAUUAGUUGGUGGUGGAGCCUUGGUUUUGUUGUGAAGCCGGCGGCGGAUCCUGAUGCCUGUGUGCAGAGGAAGUGGCGAGUAUGUGCAUCGAAAAGGAGGAGGAAUUGGGGAUUGCCGGAGCGGCAAAGGAGGGUGACGACGGAGGUGUUUGUUGGUGGGCUUGACAGAGAAGUGAAAGAGGAAGAUGUGAGGGCGGGGGAAAUCAUCGAGGUCUGGAUGGUAUAGGAUGCGAGGGCGCGGAAGAGCAGAGGAUACUUCUUUGUGCGGCACCGUGAGUCAAUGCAGGCGAAGAGGGCUGUUUCAGAGUUCUGCAAAGUGAAGGUUGUUUCGACUCUCUUGAAUCAAUUCAUUAACAUCGGGUUCCCAUGUAUGAACUCGCAAUUCCUGUUGGCUGCACAUUAGUAUAAUCGCAGAUGCUCCAGAUCUGGUUUUUUCGUAAAGAUUAUAACAAACUACAUGAUCAGGUGCUUCUACCUUUUGCAUUCAAUCAUCGGGCAGAAGAACAAGUUCACUUUCAGUAACAGAUAGACCAUCAAUGAUGUAUCCCUACUAUGCCAAGAUUGGUUUUGUAGAGUCAGGGAACACAUUGUGCCACAUGAAGUGCUUGAGUCAUGUUACAGUGGUACUCUGAUGUCUCAUUUUGUACUUGAUCUCCCUUGAGACAACACUGAUCACUGACUGAACGGUGGUAAUAUCAACAUUACACAAUUGAGAAUUGUGCAUUUAGUUUUAACCUAAAAUUUGCUAUCCGUAAAAAACACAAUUGAUGAAAAUUUUUAUAUCUGUAAAACGUAUGGUUUAUGAACUCUAACCAAAUGAACAUCAUAAACUAAUAUAUCAUUAGUACAGAAAAAUGAAUGUUCUCAAAUGAUAUGUAUGUCACGUUACUAUAUGUUGGAACUUAUGCCUUAAUAUCUUGUUGCCCAGAGUGUUGCUUGCAUAAAAGAAGGCAUUGUGUGUUCGUGACCUUUUUUUUUUGAAGCAAGUGUUCGUGACCUUUAGCUACAGUUGUGUGUAUUAUCUAAGUGGAAUGCGGUGCCUCCACAUUUUGUUCCCUCCUCUUUCACCAUAUUGAUUAUUAUCUUGUUCUUUGGAACCCCAUUACAAGAUUUGUUGGAUCCUUAGUCAAGCUGAAGCUCUGGAUGUGAGUGAUAAAUUUUUUCUUGGAAAUGUUGACAAGAAAUGGAAGAAAGAAGAUGUGAAUGCAGCUGAACCCCUUGCUACCAAUUUAUUUAUUCUGUAUUUCUGUGAGAUUGGAUAUUUGGCUCAAGUGUUGUUAGUGUGCUAAGCUUACCUAUUUCUUGUCAAUGCAGAUCAUGAAGCUACAUGGAGCUGAGAACAUUGAUACGGUGACACUUAUGGCUGACUGUAAUAACCCAGUUCAUAACUGUGGAUAUGCAUUUAUUGGACUUGGGACGAAUAGACAUACACUGAUGGCAUACAGAAAGCUUUCAAAGACAAGUGUUUUUGACAGAUGUCUAAAUGUAACAGUUGUAUGGGCUGAUCACUGAUUGAGCCCAAUGAAGAAGAGAUGCCUAAGGUCUUGCUUUCUCUCACACACACACCAAGCCACCACCCACACGUGCGUGUGCAAAAUCACAGAAACAUGAUAAUAUCAUCCUGUUUGUAUCCUAGGGAUCACUAACACUUUUGUGUUUCUAACCCAAAUAAUGUUUCUGCUCUUAUUAAUUCUCAACUUCUUGUUGGAGAUCA